rnacentral:rRNA from 1 species
UACGGAGGGUGCAAGCGUUGUCCGGAAUCACUGGGCGUAAAGGGCGCGUAGGCGGCUCAUGAAGGCUGUGGUGAAAGUCCGGGGCUCAACCUCGGAUCGGCCGUGGCGACUCGUGGGCUGGAGCACUGUAGAGGCGGGUGGAAUUCCGGGUGUAGCGGUGGAAUGCGUAGAGAUCCGGAAGACACCAGUGGCGAAGGCGGCCCGCUGGGCAGUGGCUGACGCUGAGGCGCGACGCGUGGGGGAGCAAACAGG